UUCCUAAACAAGGCAAUGGGCUACGGCACCAACAGGAAGCGCCUGCGCAGAACAGCUGCAGCGCUGCGAGCGAAACAGGAAGCAAAGAAGAAGGACUUCCGGUGGUCAAAGGUAACGUUCGUAUUUAAAAACAUGGAUCCCAAAAAAGUGGAUGAAGGGAAGAUGAGUGGUGAUGGAGACAUUGGAUCUGUCAUGGGAUUUUCUGGGUUUGGUAAGAAAGCCCGCACCUUUGACUUUGAUGCCAUUUUUGAACAGACGCGACGAACAGCAAUCGAGAGAAGUCAGCGUGUAUUAGAGGAGAGGCAGAAGGAGACUCAGAUGGAAGAGGAUGGGGAAAGCUCCAAGUCAGUCAAACCGUCAGUCCACAGUCAGAAAGAAAAAGUUGCAGCUGCUUCUUCGAGAGUACAUGAGAGUGACAGUAGCAGUGGAUCUGACUCUGACUCAGACUCAGACUCAGAGCUUAUUGGACCCCCAGUGCCUCCUCAGCACGCAGCCCAGGAGGAUGAAGAUGAGCUUGUGGGACCACCUCUUCCUCCAGGUUACUCAGGCAGCACAGCUCAUAGCGAUGAUGAUGACGAAGAGGAGGCACAAGAUGACGACGAUGAUGAUAAUCCAGUGAAGAAGAUUCCAGACACUCAUGAGAUCACUCUGCAGCACGGGACCAAGACGGUAUCAGCUCUUGGCCUAGACCCCUCUGGAGCCCGUCUGGUGACUGGUGGAUAUGAUUAUGAUGUGCGUUUCUGGGAUUUUGCCGGGAUGGACCAGGCUCUGCAGGCCUUCAGAUCCCUGCAGCCCUGUGAGUGUCAUCAGAUCAAGUCCUUGCAGUACAGCAUCACUGGGGAUGUCAUCCUGGUCGUCUCUGGCAAUGCUCAGGCCAAGGUGUUGGACCGUGACGGCUUCAACGUCAUGGAGUGUGUGAAGGGAGACCAGUACAUUGUGGAUAUGGCUAACACCAAGGGCCACACAGCAAUGCUGAAUUGCGGCUGCUGGCAUCCGAAGAUUAAAGAAGAGUUCAUGACCUGCUCCAAUGAUGGCACCGUGCGCACCUGGGACCUGAACUCAGAGAAGAAGCACAAGUCGGUGUUCAAACCGCGCUCGUUGCAGGGAAAGAAGGUCACCCCCACAUGCUGCACCUACAGCCGUGAUGGGAAGCUCAUCGCAGCAGGCUGCCAAGAUGGCACCAUCCAGAUCUGGGACAGAAACCUCAGCGUUCACACAAAGUUUCACUGUCGACAAGCCCACACUCCAGGUUCAGACACCUCCUGCCUCUCCUUCUCUUAUGAUGGCAUGACUCUCGCUUCACGUGGAGGUGAUGACACUCUGAAGACGUGGGAUAUACGCAACUUCAGAAAGCCUGUGAAUGUAGCCACUGGACUGACCAACUACUUUUCCAUGACUGACUGCUGUUUCAGCCCUGAUGACAAGCUUCUUGUAACGGGGACUUCAGUGAAGAAAGAUGAGGGAAAUGGGAAGCUGGUUUUCUUUGACCGAGGUUCGUUUCAGAGGGUCUACGAAAUAGAAGUCACCAAUGCAAGUGUUGUUCGCUGCUUGUGGCACCCAAAACUUAACCAGAUAAUGGUGGGAACUGGGAACGGACUGGCCAAAGUAUACUAUGACCCAGUUAAAAGCCACAGAGGGGCUAAGCUGUGUGUAGUGAAGAGCCAACGCAAGGAGAAACAAGCAGAGACGCUAACACAAGAUUACAUCAUCACACCUCAUGCCUUACCCAUGUUCAGAGAGGCCCGACAGCGGAGUACACGGAAACAGCUGGAGAAGGACAGACUUGACCCAAAGAAAUCCCACAAACCCGAGCCUCCUGUGUCCGGACCAGGUCGAGGAGGCAGAGUGGCAGCUCAUGGUGGGACUCUGUCUUCAUUCAUUGUGAAGAACAUUGCAUUAGAUAAAACGGACGACAGUAACCCGCGAGAGGCCAUCCUACGCCACGCCAAGGACGCGUCAGAAAACCCUUACUGGGUUGCCCCGGCAUACACACAGACCCAGCCAGAGCCUGUGUUUGCGGAGGAAUCGGAGGAGGAUGAGGAAGCUGACAAAGAACCGGAGUGGAAGAAACGCAAGAUCUGAUAGACAGCAGCUCGUUUUAUACAGGACAGCAGACAGGGUGGGCUAGAACACAGAGGUGCAGUGGCCAGAAAAUGAAGGUGAGACAAAGACAUACCAGAAGAAGAAAUAUGGAAGCAGUGAAUCAGCGAGUGAUGUAUUAAAGAGUAGAUUGGCUUCAUGGGGAGAAGCUGACGUCAAACCCUUCAAGAGAAGAGUCGUCAGCCAGCAGCAGGAGGUGAGGACUGAUUGCAGUUUGAUUAAAGUGGGACAGUUGAGCACAGAGAAAGAGAAGCUCUGCAUGGAGCUGAAACCAUGGCCCUCAGGUGGAGGCAUUUAAAUUCAGACCUAUUAAAGGCUCAGUUCACUCAAAUUACAAAGAAACAUUCUCUCACUUACAGUUCUUCUACUGUAUAUGCCCACUGUAUAAAGCCAGUGAUUGAUGGUUUUAGUGCUGCUCCAAGCUAAAAAAUUGAGUUACAGUUUGAAAAUUUCGACACCAGAGACCUUGUUGCAUUCAGUUUUCAUUGGAGCAUCUUUGCACCUCAACAACUACCAAAAUUUUUAUUCCCACUGUAUCCAUGUGAGAUAAAAUUAGAUAGGACUUGGCCAGAAUAAACCGAAUUUGAAGAUUUCAGGUCUAGGUUGGAGUCACACUGGGUAAUGUACUCAGUAUGUUUCUUACUGUCAACAUGACAUGUCUCAUGAAAGCAACAAAAUUAAUAUUUCAGUCACUACUUUCCAACUUUCUUACCUCUGUCACAAACCCAUUGGUUCCUAGAGUCAAAAAAUAGAAUAUAGGCUAAAAAAAAUGCCCUCAAAACAGCAGAACUUAGUUUAUAGCAAAUGUUAAAACUCAGAGAAAAUGGUACAUUUUUUUUAAACUAUCUUCACCUGUAGAUUUGACGAAAUAGUGAGCAUUGAUAGUAAGAGGAUGGUGUGUGUGUGAGGUUUCCACAUGUCAGCUAAUGAAAAAGUGUGGUUCCCUGAUGUGGUUUUGGACAUGACGUACGUGUCACAAACAAAUAAGCUACUAUAUAUCAGGCUUUGGCUGCACAGAUAAUACUGUUAGGGGAGAUCAGAUCAUUGUUGGUGUUGGACUUAUGGGAUUUGCUGACAACAUGAAAAAUACAAAAUAUCGCCACACUUAAUCCUUUGAGUCACACAAAUGAGGACGAAAACAAAUUGUUUUGGCAGAUCAGCUUUGCGCAGCCAAGCCCCUCUUAUAUAUUGAGUUUUUUGGCCUCAGCAGUGAAGGGACUUGGCCUCUUGACAGAAAGAAAUGCUUAAAUGCUAUGUUACUUUAUUGGUCAGUAUUCUGAAGCCUGACAGACUUUAAAAAUGAAUUACAAAGACUUGGGAGUUGCUAUUACAAGUAGACAAGACCUGGACUUUUCCCAGGAGACAUGAAAACAAGUUGUGUAGUACCUCAGCUGCACACUGUGUCAUGACUCACUGUCUGUACCUCUGCCAUUUUCUCAUCAGCAUUUACAUAUCUUCUUUGCACAGUGGAAACAUUCUUGAGCGCCAUGAUUUACAACUUAGUGGCGCUUUACUGCUGGCUUUUGUUUACUGUACGACCCCCGGGCUCCCGUUCAAGAAUGCAGAACAGAACGAGACGCCACACUGCGGAGGCCAUCUCUCAAGCCAUCCUCGCGAUUCUCCAUUUAACCCAAAUUUGCAUCG